rnacentral:rRNA from 1 species
CGACCUCGUAGUAGGAGAGAGCUACCCGCCAAAUUUAAGCAUAUUAAUAAGCGGAGGAAAAGAAACCAACAGGGAUUCCCUUAGUAAGGGCGACUGAACCGGGAAAAGCCCAGCGCAUAACCUCGAUGUCUUCGGGCACGAGGGGUGUUGCGUUUCAGAGGGUCCAGCACGCCGCCCCAUACCGUCUAAGUCAAGCUUGAAAGCGGCCACUGCCCAUGGAGGGUGACAGGCCCGUAUGGCGGCGCCCGUGAGGGUACAGAUGGGACGGUCGGAAAGGGCCUCUCUGUAGAGUCGGGUUGCUUGAAAGUGCAGCCCAAAGCAGGUGGUAAACUCCAUCUAAGGCUAAAUAUGACCACGAGACCGAUAGCGAACAAGCAAUUGCGGUGGAGGAAAGUUGAAAGAACUUUGAAGGAGAGAGUCUAAGAGUACGCGAAACCGCAGAGCCAAACGGUGGAAACUCGAAGGUCGAACUGAGGGGAUCGCAGCCUGCUGCCGUCGGCUGGGUGGGUGUUGUAAUUGAGCUAACGCAAAAAUGUUUGGGCGCGCUCCUCACUCACGCUGGCGUCGGCGGCGUAUUUCUCAUCAGGUCACCGCGACCCGUUGCCGGGAACGCCUGGCGUCUGCCGGACUGGUAUCUGCCGCCGACUCUCUCUCAGCUCGUCUGGGGGAGAGACCCGCUACACGGGGAACGGCACCGUGUCCUGGUUGCCUGGCGACGGUCGCCGAUAGCUUGAGCGCCGCCGCGGGCGGUUUUGCUCAAGGUGUGCAAAGGCCGAGAUCCAACGGACCCUGUCUGGAAACACGGGACCAAGGAGUCUAACAUGUGCAAGCCAAUGGGCUCACCAAACCCGCGGCGAAAUGAAGUGACGGGCGCCUGGUAGCUGUAACAGGCUUCCUCCGUGCGUUUGGGCCGAUCCCUGACCGCCGCUGGCGGCUCGCCCACGCCAAGCAUAAGCGGGUGAGAUAUUUCGGCCCUGACGCCGCGGUGGUGGAGGCCGCUUAGGCGAUGGUCGAAGCUUAAUUUCGGCGGGAGGGGGGCGAGGCCCGGAUCUGCUAAGACGCCGCUAAAGCGUCUGUCCUCGAAGCGGGCUGUCGGUAAACGGCGGAGGCGCACCGGGGCAGGCUCGCGGGCAGUCGGCAAGUACCAUGAGCAUAUAUGUUGGGACCCGAAAGAUGGUGAACUAUGCCUGGCCAGGAUGAAGCCAGAGGAAACUCUGGUGGAGGUCCGUAGCGAUUCUGACGUGCAAAUCGAUCGUCGGAGCUGGGUAUAGGGCGAAAGACUAAUCGAAUCAUCUAGUAGCUGGUUCCCUCCGAAGUUUCCCUCAGGAUAGCUGGAACUCGCAGGGUGAAUUUCAUCCGGUAAAGCGAAUGAUUAGAGGUCUUGGGGACGAAACGUCCUCAACCUAUUCUCAAACUUUAAAUGGGUGAGAUGCCGAGCUUGCUUGUAGGGAUGAAGCUCCGGCGACUAAUCUGAGUAUCUAGUGGGCCAUUUUUGGUAAGCAGAACUGGCGCUGUGGGAUGAACCAAACGUCGAGUUAAGGGGCCUAAAUGAAUGCUCAUUCAGAUCCCAUUGAAAGGCGUUGGUUGCUAUAGACAGCAGGACGGUGGCCAUGGAAGUUGGAAUCCGCUAAGGAGUGUGUAACAACUCACCUGCCGAAGCAACUAGCCCUUAAAAUGGUAUGGCGCUCAAGCAUUCUCCCGAUACUCGACCGCCGGGCGCACUACCGGCCUCGCUCUCAAGGCGAGGUCUCGAAGCCCCCGUGAGUAGGAGGGUCGCAGUGGUGAGCGCUGAAGGGUUUCGGCGUGGGCCGGCCUGGAGCCGCCACUGGUGCAGAUCUUGGUGGUAGUAGCAAAUACUCGAGAGAGACUCCCUUGAUGACCGAAGCCGAGAAGGGUUCCAUGUGAACAUCAGUUGGACAUGGGUUAGUCGCUCCUAAGCCCAGGGCUAAGGCCUGAUCCACGCCGAGGCAAAUGCAACACGAGCAGAGGAGAAGAAGAAGAACAACUACAACUAAGUAGGGUUCUAUCUAUCUAUCUACCUCGGUCUUAUAUAACACAGUCUAACAAAGUGAAAGGCCAAAGGAUGAGUGGCGAAAGGGAAUACGGCACUUAUUCCGAACCAGGCCUGAACCCUAGCGUGGAAUGCUACAUGCCGCGAAGGGUCCUGGCAACUGAAACCAGCUCGCGCCCACCGGCGGUGGUCCGGGAAAGAGUUCUCUUUUCUGUUUAAGGCGCCGUGGCUAGAAAUCUCUCAUUCAGAGAGAGGGCGUUGGUAAGACGGUUAGCCGAGAGCCGGGCGGUUCUGCGGCGCCCGAGUGCCACCGCCGUCCGUGAAAAAUGCGAGGGUGGUUAUCCCAGGCAGCAUUGUCGGAACUCGUUUCCGGCGGCGUCUGCUUUUCGGGCCUGUGCGUACCCAUAACCGCAUCUGGUCUCCAAGGUAAGCAGCCUCUGGUCGAUAGACUAAUGUAGGUAAGGAAGUCGGCAAAUUAGAUCCGUAACU